ACUGCUCAGUAACACGUGGAUAACCUGCCCUUGGGUCCGGCAUAACCCCGGGAAACUGGGGAUAAUUCCGGAUAACGCACAUAUGCUGGAAUGCUUUAUGCGUAAAAUGGAUUCGUCUGCCCAAGGAUGGGUCUGCGGCCUAUCAGGUAGUAGUGGGUGUAAUGUACCUACUAGCCAACAACGGGUACGGGUUGUGAGAGCAAGAGCCCGGAGAUGGAUUCUGAGACAUGAAUCCAGGCCCUACGGGGCGCAGCAGGCGCGAAAACUUUACAAUGCGGGAAACCGUGAUAAGGGGACACCGAGUGCCAGCGUCAUACGCUGGCUGUCCGGGUGUGUAAAAUACACCUGUUAGCAAGGGCCGGGCAAGACCGGUGCCAGCCGCCGCGGUAACACCGGCGGCCCGAGUGGUGAUCGUGAUUAUUGGGUCUAAAGGGUCCGUAGCCGGUUUGGUCAGUCCUCCGGGAAAUCUGAUAGCUUAACUAUUAGGCUUUCGGGGGAUACUGCCAGACUUGGAACCGGGAGAGGUAAGAGGUACUACAGGGGUAGGAGUGAAAUCUUGUAAUCCCUGUGGGACCACCUGUGGCGAAGGCGUCUUACCAGAACGGGUUCGACGGUGAGGGACGAAAGCUGGGGGCACGAACCGGAUUAGAUACCCGGGUAGUCCCAGCCGUAAACGAUGCUCGCUAGGUGUCAGGCAUGGCGCGACCGUGUCUGGUGCCGCAGGGAAGCCGUGAAGCGAGCCACCUGGGAAGUACGGCCGCAAGGCUGAAACUUAAAGGAAUUGGCGGGGGAGCAC
rnacentral:rRNA from 1 species